rnacentral:rRNA from 1 species
UACGAAGGGGGCGAGCGUUGUUCGGAUUUACUGGGCGUAAAGGGCGCGCAGGCGGCUUGUUUUGUCAGGCGUGAAAGCCCCGGGCUUAACCUGGGAACUGCGUUUGAUACGGACGGGCUAGAGUUCGGGAGAGGAGAGUGGAAUUCCCAGUGUAGAGGUGAAAUUCGUAGAUAUUGGGAGGAACACCGGUGGCGAAGGCGGCUCUCUGGACCGAGACUGACGCUGAGGAGCGAAAGCGUGGGGAGCGAACAGG